UCCUGCUUGACGCAGGCAGUCCCCCCAGAGUCCCCGGCAUGACCCGCUGGCAACUGAGGGUAAGGGUUUCGCUCGUUAUAGGACUUAACCCGACAUCUCACGACACGAGCUGACGACAGCCAUGCAGCACCUGUGGCAGCUUCCGGAUUGGAUACCGUUCGUUCGAGUUUCCCCGUUCUACCUGCUGCCUCUUUCGAACAUGUCAAGUCCAGGAUAAGGUUCUUCGCGUAGCCUCGAAUUAAGCCACAUGCUCCACCGCUUGUGUGAGCCCCCGUCAAUUUCUUUGAGUUUCAGCCUUGCGGCCAUACUCCCCAGGCGGAGAACUUAGCACUUUUGCUUCGGCAGUGAGUCCAUGUCUAACCCACUACCUAGUUCUCAUCGUUUAGGGCCAGGACUA
rnacentral:misc_RNA from 1 species